UACGAAGGGUGCAAGCGUUGUUCGGAGUUACUGGGCGUAAAGAGUGCGUAGGCGGUGUCGCAAGUUCUGUGUGAAAUCUCCCGCUUAACUGGGAGGGUGCGCCGAAAACUGCGAUGCUGGAGUGUGGGAAAGGCAAGCGGAAUUCCUGGUGUAGCGGUGAAAUGACGUAGAUAUCAGGAGGAACACCGGCGGUGUAGACGGCUUGCUAGACCAUAACUGACGCUGAGGCACGAAGGCGUGGGUAGCAAACAGG
rnacentral:rRNA from 1 species